rnacentral:pre_miRNA from 1 species
UAGCUUUGUCCCAAGUCAAUUUUAUCUAACUUUGACCAAAUUUAUGGAAAAAACAUAUUAACAUCUACAGUAUCAAUAAAUGAACAACCAAUAUGUAUUACAUGUUGUAGUUAAUGAAAAUAGUUUGAUGGUGUAGAUCUUUGUGCAUUUUUCUAUAAACUUGGUCAAAGCUAAAGAAGUUUGACUUAGGACAAAAUUAG